GCGCCCGGGGCCGCGCCGCCCUCCGCGGGUGUGCCUGGGAAACGGAGUUCCUGGGAAACAAACGGAGUUCCUGGGAAACAAAUGGAGUUCCUGGGAAAUGGAGUUCCUGGGAAAUGGAGUCCGCUCCGCCCCGCCCGGCACCGCCCCGGGGCCGGCCCCGGCAGCGCCUGCGGGGAAAUGAGCUCUGCUGCAGGGGAAACCACGGGCACAGAGCUCAACAGAGAUCAGAUCCUCCUUCCUCACAGUCUGACUGUGACAACCCUUCACAGCCACACCUGUGUGACACUGAGCAGAGCCCAGUGCCCCAGGAAUAGCCUGGGACACCUGGGACACCAGCCCAGGCCAGGAAAGAUUCCUGGGACUGCAUUCCUCAGACUGCAGAGUCAGAAAUAAUCCUGCAAUGAACAGAAUGUGACCAUCAAUGGAGUGACACCAGAUCUUGAGGCCCUGCUGAGACACUGGCGAGGGACAGGUCCGAGUGCAGGCAGGAGGAGAGGCAGUACAAUGGAGCAAACCUGUGAUGCUUUGAGGAUGGUUCACUGAUCUACCUAAGCCUCAGCAGAAGUGCAAGAUCACGGCAGGGACAAAGACAAGAAUUGCAGUUCUGCAAAAGGCUCAGGGGUUUGACACAAUAUGUGUCUCGAGGGGGACCAUGCCCAGCCGCUCUCCAUUGUCCAUCAUCUGUCCUGGCUGCCCAGAGAGCUCCCGGAUGACUGGAGGUGCCAAUGUGAUGCCCACCCACAAGCACGGGCAGAAGGAGGAUCCAGGGAACUCCAGGCCUGCCAGCCUGACCUUGCUGGGUGGGAACAGAUCGUGCUCAGUGUCACUGCACAGCACGUGCAGAACAACUGGAACAUCAGGGUUGUGACAGACAGGUCCUGCCUGACCCACCUGAUCUCCCCCUGUGACAGUGUCACCUCCUCAGUGGCUGAGGGAAAGGCUGUGAUGGGUCUGCCUGGACUCAAGUGAAGCUUUGACACUGUUUCCCACAAGGUUCUCCUGGAGAACCCGGCUGCUGCUGGCCUGGACAAGGGCACUGCUCGCUGGCUCACGGCUGGGCCCAGGGAGUGGUGGGGAAUGGGCCACGUCCAGCUGGGGCUGGGCACCACUGGCAUUCCCUGGGCUCAGCACUGGGGCCAGUCCUGUUUUGUGUCUAUGUCCACACUCUGGACAAGGGGAGCGAGAGCACCUCAGUCCGUUCUCAGGGGACACCAGGCUGGGUGGGAAUAUGGAUCUUCUGGAGGGCAGGAACCUCUGCAGAGGGCUCUGGAAAGGCUGGAUGACCCUUCCCCAGCACUGUUGCCCUUCCCUGCACACAUUCCAGCCCCUCAAUGUCCUUCUUAGUUGUGAUGGCCACAGAACUGACCCAGGGUUUGACUAAACAGUGCCCAGCACAGGCCUGGCCAGGGCCUGUGGCCACGCUCUGGCUGAUAGCAGCCAGGUGCCAUUGGCCUCUUGCCCACCUGGGCUCCUCUUCAGCCAGUGUCACCAGCACCCCCAGCUCCUCUUCCAGCUUUCCAGCUGCUCUGCCCUAACCCAGGUCACUGCAGGGGACUGUGGUGACACUUGGGCAGGCCCCAGAACCCGGCCUCACUGAACCUCAAAGCGUAGGCCUCGGCCCAUCAAUCUGGCCUGGUCCUGUUUAGACUCUGCAGAGUGUAAACUCAAGUUAAUCAAUAACUGUGGAGAGCUUCAGGGGAUUCUGCUGCUGAGCUGAGCCUGGGGACACGGUGAGCUCCCGGGGGAGCCUCAGGUCCUGCCCCAGCCCCUCCUGGGCUCUGUCCCCUCUGUCUCUCCCUCCUGGGCCCUGCAGUGGGACCUUUGCUCGCCGUGCUGUGCUGGGUGUGACUGAGCUGGAUCUCCUGUUCCCCAGCAGCCCUCCCAGUGCCGGGGUCACAGUGGGACUGGGGCUGGUGCCAGUGACACCCCUGAGCUCUGGUGCUGCCCAGCAGAGCUGGCACCACACCAGCACCGGCUCCCCAGCACCCCAGGCCCCGUCUGUGGGGCCUAAGGAGGGGACACAGCCAGGACAGCUGACCCCAGGCAGAUCCCAAGCCACAUCCCCUUGGCUCAGAUAGAAAAGCUCAGAAAAGGAGGAGGAAGGGGGGAAAUUUGUUAUUUACAAUGUUUGCCUUCUGAAGAAAUGGCUCCAAGUGCUGGAGUCUUGCUUUCUGGGAAGUGCCUGGACUUCACCUGCUCAUGGGAAGUAGAGAAUAAAAAUCUCAUCUUUUUCCUUUUGCUUCUGGAA